UACGUAGGCAGCGAGCGUUGUUCGGAAUUACUGGGCGUAAAGAGUGUGUAGGCGGUGCUCUAAGUUCGGUGUGAAAUCUCCUGGCUUAACUGGGAGGGUGCGCCGGAAACUGGAGUGCUCGAGCGUGGGAGGAGGAAAGCGGAAUUCCUGGAUGUGAGCGGUGAAAUGCGUAGAGUAUCAGGAGGAACACCUGUGGUGUAGACGGCUUUCUGGACCAUAGCUGACGCUGAGACACGAAAGCGUGGGUAGCAAACAGG
rnacentral:rRNA from 1 species